GGCCGUGGAGCUGGAUGGGGGAAUGUAGAUUUUAGGAGUCUUUGUUUUUCUAAUCCCAUCAGCUCCAGCCUUCAUGGCCCAGGUCUUCCUGAAUGGAUUACCAAAUCUGCAUUUCUAAAAGCUAGCCUCCUCAGUUUCUGCUUGAGGCAGGGAGACCCUCUGGGGCUGGUUUUUGCCUCCCUUAAGAUUUUUUCCUGUAUUUCUUCUUCAUGGGAAAUAUUCUAUCCUGCCUUUUUUUAAUAUUCCCUAAAAUAUUUCAUUCUCGUGGGGGGGGGGUGUUGUUCUGACUCCUUAUAGUCUUUUUCUCUUUUUCUUUGUUUUUUUUCUUGUGUUAAUUUUUAUGUUCUUUUAAUUUUUUUUGGUAAAAGUUAUAGAAAAGAGAAUAUAUUAUUUUAAAUACAGAAUUAAGCUGCCUCAAAUUUGGUCUGGAGAUAAGACUAUGUUAUGGGGCCAUGCUCUUUAAAAUGGUUAUUGGGGGGGUCUUCAUGUCUUCCUGGUAAGGGAAUGUUGAUGCCCCUUGUAUAUCCAUUAGAUUAGUAUCUUAAACUUUUUUCAACCAAGUUUGUACUUAAUGAUUUAUUCAUGUUUUUAAGUAAACUAAACUACUUAAAUCAAGACCUGAAACUGAAAAACAAUAUAAGAGGGAACUUCCCAUCCUCUGGUUAAAAUGUAUUCUAUAUUUCUAGACUUGGGAGUUGUGAGGCUUCUAGAUCAGUAUAUGACAGGCAAGAACAGCUGUUGGUUUAAGAGAAGCCCAGAAAUAUUGCUAUACCUCUGCUUUAAAGGCUCAGCAGAGUUAAAUUUAGAUCACUUUCUUUCAUAUCUAUACUGCUUUGAAAUUUGAUGUAUUCUGUUGCUAAUGCAAACACUGUUUUAUUGGUAUAAAAUAGAGAAGAAACUGAAAUAGAUUUAGAAUUUUCUUUUGAAUAAUUUAUAUCACUCCUGGUGAAAAUAGUGACCGGUUGUUUUUAUUUAUUCAGCAGUGUAUUGAAAAACAGAAACCUUGCUGUGUCUGAACUCAUGACCUGAUCACUGAACAUUGAAUCUAGUUCAGAGGUAGUCUUGUCACACUCACUCUUCUAUUAAUCUCCAAGCAUCCAUGUCUGUUUUCAUUAUUCUAGUCUGCUUUCAAAUUUUUUAAAAAGGGGAUACUCAUUUAUGUCAGUACAAAUCCGUUUCCUCUGUCAAGUGCUGCAGAGUCGGUGAGGCUUGCAACAUGGGAUAAGGGUUAAUCUUUUCCUUCAUACAAUUUUCCUUCCCCCUCCCCAGUUUGUUCUUACACAGCAAGUAAGCUCACUAGGGGAAAAAAGCAUAGUGAGCAUAGUGAUGUUUCCAUAGGUCACUUCACCAAAUGGAAUGUGAAGGAAGAAAAGAGGAUUGGCUGGAGUGAAAUAAGUGUAUUUUCUGUCAUUUUAAAAACACUACUUGGGUACUUUGGUUUUCCAGUGUCCUGUAAUAUUAGUAUGUACAUCACAUACCCCUCUCCUUUUUGAGAGACAUUACUACACAGUACUCCAAAUUUCAUUUUAAUACAUUUUAAGAAACAUGUUUAAAAGGCUUAUUAAAAAAAAUAAAACAUCCACAUUUAUUAUUUUUGUGUUGAUUUUGAUGGGAAUAGAUCUAUUAAAUUAAAUAAAUGAAAAUUAUUAAUAGAUAGAAAAUUCCCAGUACAAAUUUUAUGCAGAUGUGCAUCCUUAUUUAGAAUUCUAUUGACAUCCUUGUGAAUUUCUGUUGGUAUUACCAGUCAGGCUAAUAUAUAGAGAAUAUAUCAUGUUUCCCCAAAAAUAAGACCCUGUUUUAUAUUUUUUGGCCUCCAAAAGAGGCACCAGGUCUUAUUUUCAGGGGAUGUCUUACCCGCUUACCUUAGAACCAUUGCAGUCAGGUCUCCCACACCCCAAUACCUGUCACGCUGCUGCUCUGGUCCUUUUCCAGCUGCUUGCAGCUGCACGCCAUGUGGUGCAUCAUGACACUCAUGCUACAAGGCCACAUGGCUCGUGCCAAUUGCAUUGCUGCUGCCAGUUGCAGCAUGAGGCCACAAGGCUCAUCGUGCUGCUACUGCCGCUCGCGAUAGGCUACGUGGUGCAUUGUGCCAAUCGCACUGCUGCUACCACUUGCUAGCAGGUGCAGUUGGCAGGACAAGCCUCGCGGCCUCCUGGCAUGAGUGGCAACACCGGCUCGAUUACCUCGCGGCCUCUUGCUGUGACUGGCAGCAGUGGCGCGAUGUACCAUGUGGCAUGCAGCUGCAAGCAGCCACAGAAGAACUCGGGUAAUAGUGCAACAGAUGUCAAGGCGUAUUAGGCCUAGCUACAGCAAUCCUAAGGUAAGCGGGUGUGGGGCACAUGGGGCAGCUCCACCUCCCCACUCCCACCCUAGCUUGAUUUUUACGUGUGCAACUCGCCCCAAAAUUAGGGCUUAUUUUUGGGGUAGGGCUUAUAUUGGGUGUAAGUGUAAAAAUCAAGCUAGGGCUUAUUUUGGGGAAAACACGGUAGUACAUGUAUGCUAAGAGGUUUGUUAGUACUUAAACAGCAUUCCUAAAAUUCUGAGCCAGUUUUUCUAAAAUUGUAUUUUGCUUUCUUCCUUCUCACUGAGUCAUUCAGCUGACUGAGUACAUUCAGUACAUUUUUUCUAGCAUAAUAUUUUGCCAGAAUAUAGACUUUAGCUUGCAGGUAGCUUUUGAAAUUGGGCUGAGAACUUCAGACUGUCCACUCCAGGUUCGAUAUGAUUUAAAAUAUACCGGUACUUCUUUAUCAGCUAUCUUGAGCAUGGCUGCACCAGACUGCCAGUGAGGCCCCAAAACUGAGUUUCCACUUUUCUGCCUCAAGCCCUAGAUGUCAGGGUAGAGAGCAUUGUUGUUUUUAAUAUUUCUGGUUUUGGUAUAACUGUUUCCAGGUGUUCUAGAGAAUAGAUAUAUAUAUUUUCAUGAUGUAUUGGUCCUGAAAACAUGUUCCAGAUUGUUCAAAUACUAUUUUUCUUUAAAAAUAAUGAGAUAUAAAAGUCAUUUUGAGUAGUGAUUAAUACUUAAUCCAAGCAUUUGUUUUUCAUUUCCUAAGUACUGUGCAUUUUUUCUAGGUAGUAGUCCUCUUUGAAUUGUUAAUCAGCAGCUGUCUAAAGAAGUUUUUUUUUUCCUGGGCAGUGCUGUUAGUGAUGUCACUUUCCCCUUGGCAAACGGACAGAUAGCUCUGCUGUUUUUGAAAUUGGUUUCUGGGAGGGGAAAGAGAAGAGAGUGAGAGCAUGCCUUGUCCUGGGAUCCUGUUUAUUUAACAUUCCCAGCUAAGGAAACCCUACUUUAAAAAAGAUUGUGCAUGCAGUCUUUCUAUAUCAGAUGAAGAAAUGAGUAUGCGGUUUUCGAAAUUUCUUUGUUUACACUCUUAGCUUGGAUUAUGAGUUUGCAAAAUGCCUUUCCUUUUGGGCCUACGACAGUGUUGCUGUUCUGAACAAAAUAGAACCUUAAAAAGAGCAUUUCUCCAGUAUGAUGAGUGGAGAAUCCACCAAUGGGUUAGCUUUGUCUUCUGCCCGGAUAGACUAAGUCAGCCAAGUUGCCACGCCUCCGUCCCUGGAGCAGGAUUCCAGUCUCGACUUAGUCUCUCGCCCGAAAGAACACACAAACUUGGCUCUAGGACAGAUCACCAGAUCAGGUCGUAUUUAACUUUUUUCUUACCUUUUACCUAAGGCGGGGGGUGGGAAACGAGCAGGCGUUCGUUCGUCGCCGUUUCCAGCUGAUUGGAGCGGACCGCAGGAUUUUAUUCAGCCCCAACUGAUCAUCGGAGGGGAAAACAAAGAGCCAGUCGCCAUUUUUGGCACCGUGUGGCUUCAGAGUGGGAGGAAGAAUUUCCCCCUGGGUCGAAGGAAGCCAUUGAGGGAGGAAUCUCCCCCUGGGUGGAAAGAAGCCAUUCCUAGCCUCCGCGAUACAGCAGGACCACUCGAUACCGGCUCACCAUCCCCCAGCUGUAAACAGCGUUUUUUUCUUGCGACCACCAUUUUCAAGCCGCAAAAUUCAAAAUAACUGGCUAGCCAGCUUGCUCAGAUCCCAACAGGCUGGACAUCAAUUUCUGCCUGUGGCAUAGCGCUGGUCAGCAACAGCUGGCUCAGACAGGUACAAGGUAGAGGAUUUCAAUUUCUCCAUUUGAAUCAGGAAGGGAUCAAGCCGGAGAGGUUCUGAACUGGGGGGGGGGAGAAAAGGGGAAGUGUGUGCCGCCCUUCCUCAGCUACAAGCCAUCCCAGUACAGGAGAAUACCACCACCCCGUACCUGCUGAGUCACUCACAAUCCGGCACAAGUUCAAUUACCACACCUUUGAAUUUUUUUGUUUUUAUUUUAAAGGAGGAAGUGAGAUAGAAGAGGAAGAGUCACGACAACCUGAAUUGUCUGCCCAACAAUUAUGUGCGGGUCGUAUCAUUAAUUUGAUCUUGCCGCUAACAACAACACAACAGAGUGUUGGAUCAAAGGUGCACAGAGGUGUGGCUAUACCAUUUAUUGGCCUUGCCACUUUGGACUGCUUCCAGUCAUCACCUAGAACGACCUAUCACCAGGCCUCUCACCUGGAGAUUCCUUUCAGUCCCUACACUGAGAUAUCUCUUAUAUCAAUGGCAGAUACCAUUGCUGCUCAGGCAGCGCAGGAUUCCUCCGUUAGUCCUCCUGGACAUAAGAGGCCAAGAUCAUCCAAUCAGGAAGCAGCAGGAAGGAUCAAAGCCAAAGCAAUAUCGGGCAAAAGAUCCUCCAAGGCCGCUGAUAAGAAGGCCAAACGAAGACAUCAGGCUCUGGAGAAACAAUUCUCUAAAGCCGAAAAGAAACAAAGCACAGCAGAAGAUGGACUAGUUCCCCCUGCUUACACAGAGGAGGAGAUUUUCGGCCUACUGCAGUCUAUUCAGGAACCUCUGGAAACAGAGGCUGAGGCAGAACAAUCAGGAUCUCCUCUAAGCGAUGGGCCUAAGAUCAGACCAUCAGGUUGACAGAUCCGGCAAUAGGGACAGAUUUAGGCAGCAAUUCCAGUUGAAGCGGCCCUUUCGAGGAGCGGGGGUCGCCCCUUUUGUAAAUCCAAGUGACGGGGAAAGCUCCCCCAUUGGUGGCAGGCUGGCCCUCUUCGCACACAGAUGGCAAGCCACCACCACGGACCUUUGGGUUCUAAACACCGUCAGAUUCAGCCUCUCACUGGAAUUCACCUCCAAGUCCUCGAAUCAUUUCGUUCCUUGCCCAUCACCCAAGGAUCUGAUCAAGAGAGGCCUCCAGCAUCUCUUGGUCAUUCAAGCUAUAGAUCCGGUACCAACGGGGCAACAUGGACAGGGAUUCUAUUUCAUCUUAUUUAUAGUCCCAAAGAGUUCGGAGGGAUGGAGAGUAAUUCUAGACCUAAAAAGUCUGAACAAUCACUUGGCAUACAGACUCUCCAAUUCAUAUUAGCCGGUAUCAGAAGGGGAGACCUCUUGACAUCCAUAGAUCUGACGGAGGCUUACCUCCACAUCCCCAUACUUCCCGAGCAUUGGAAGUUUCUCAGGUUCUAUUACACAAGCCAACAUCUUCAAUACAGGGCUCUACCCUUUGGACUGUCAUCAGCCCCCAGAGUGUUCACAAAGGUACUGGCAGCUCUGGCCGCUCAUUUACGAACCAUCCCCGUACGUAUCAGUGCUACCUGGAUGACAUUUUAAUACAAUCCUCAUCAGUACAGGCGGCACAGUCAGAAUUGGCAUUGACCCUAAGAAUCCUUCAAGACCACGGGUUCUCAGUAAAUUUCCAGAAGAGACAGACAGUUCCAUCAACUCGCUUUCUUCAUCUGGGAGCUGUGAUAGACACACUGAAGUGCGAGGUCUACCUAUCUCGAGUGUGUCGAACGAACAUUCGAGUUCUGGUCAGUCAGAUUCGAAAGAAACGGUCCACCACACUGGCCACACUCUCCCACCUGCUGGGAAAGAUGAUCUCAUGCAUAGCAAUCGUGCCCUGGGCACGACUACAUUCCAGAAGCCUGCAGUGGUUCCUGCUCCUGUUUCAGAAAAGAGGAACCAGCUCCUCCAACCAGAAGGUAAGGGUCCCAUCAUAGGUCCUGAAGUCUCUCCAAUGGUGGUCAUCCCUAGCAGUGGGAAAGGGAUACUUGUUCAAGGAACCCACCCGAGGCAUCCUGACCACGGAUGCCAGUCUAUUCGGUUGGGGAGCACACUUACAAUCACAGCUGGCACAGGGCCAAUGGCCCAAGGCAGAUCUGAGACACAAUAUAAACUGGCUAGAGCUCAGAGCCAUACACCUGGCCCUUCGCCACUUCUGCAACUCAGUGGCAGAUCAGCACGUCCUAGUUCUCACGGACAACAUGGUGGCAAAGGCCCAUAUCAACCAACGGGGGUACACGAUCCAGAUCUCUCAUGGCCGAGGCCCAAUUGGUGGGAAUCUGGGCAGAGAACAACAUCUCCCUCAGGGCCGAACACAUAUCAGGAGAGGCAAAACAGCAGGCAGAUUUCCUGAGCAGGGCAACAGUAGACCACUCAGAGUGGAGCCUGCAUCCAGUUUUCUUCAGAGAGGCAUCAGAGAAGUUCGGCCAUACAGUACUGGACUUAUUCGCCAGUCCCAAGAAUGCUCGGCUUCCAAGGUUUUUCUCCUGCUUCCUCUCACCAGGUGCGGAGAGAGCAGAUGCGCUCCAGGGGCCUUGGCCCAAGGAGCUGCUAUAUGCCUUCCCCCCUCUUCCUCUGAUGCAAGCAACCAUCAGCAAAAUAUUGCAGGAACAAGCAGAGAUUAUACUUAUUGCUCCACACUGGCCAAGACGGCCGUGGUUUGCCGACCUUGUGAGUCUUUCAAUAUGUCCUCCGUGGAGGAUUCCAUACGACCAAAUCUCCCUCAGCCAGGGGGCCUUACAGCACCCAGAACCACAGUGGCUCCAACUAACCGCCUGGCACUUGAACGGAGCCUCUUAAUAGGGGAAUCUUAUUCCCCAGACGUCAUUACCACGAUCCAGGCCUCGAGAAGGCCUACAAUUAACAGAAUUUACGACUCCACGUGGAAAAAUUACUGUAGCUGGUGUGCAAGACAGCAUUUAGAUCCUUCUAGAAUUACUAUCCCAAGGAUCCUAGACUACUUGUGGGAGAGGCUUAAGAAGGGUUUAGCACCCAACACAAUUUGUAGACAGGUGGCCGCCCUAUCCACCAUCAUCCCAUAUGGCAACUCUGAACCACUGGCCAAACACUCCAUGAUGCGCUCCUUCAUUAAAGGCGCAACAAACAACAGACCACCCGUGGUCCACAGAUAUCCUUCCUGGGAUCUAUCCAAGGUCCUACAGGCCAUCACCUCAUCCCCAUUUGAGCCUAUCCGGACCUGCACCUUAUAGUACCUGACACUUAAGGUUGCAUUUCUGGUCACCGUAACUGCGGCUAGAUGCAUCUCAGAAUUGGCAGCACUAUCAGUUAGGGAGGACAUCUUCCACGCAAAUAGGGUGAUCCUACGACUGGAUCCUUCCUUCAUUCCAAAGGUCAAUUCCUUGUUCCACAGGUCACAAGAGGUGGUGCUACCAGAUUUUUCUCCUCAGCCUUCCCAUGAAUUGGAACGCAAAUGGCAAAUGGCCCUAAGGCACUACAUAAAGCAAACUGCACCAUUUUGCAAGUCUGAGGUCCUGUUCGUAUCCUUCCAAUCUCUCUCAAGGGGUUGAAGGGUCACGGCAUCCACAAUCGGCAGAUGGAUCAGGAAUUGCAUAGCAGGAACAAACCAAGGGCAAUUGCUCCCAGUCCCUAAUCAGAUCACCGCCCAUUCUAACCCGCAGCACUGCAACAUCAGCAGCGUGAUCGACUCAAGCGCCGAUUGAAGAAAUAUGCAGGGCGACAAUGUGGGCGUCGCCUUCCCCUUUUGUAAGACACUAUAAACUAGAUAGGUUCGCAUCGGCGGAGGCCUCCUUUGGUAGGAGGGCCCACCAAUGCUUAUUUUCAGAGAGUGGGACACAGGCCCAAACUGAUUCCCACCUACAGACAGUGAGGCUUUGAUACAUCCCAUUGGUGGAGUCUCCACUCUUCAUGCUAGAGAAGGGGCAUUGUCUUACCUGAACGCCUUUUCUCAGCAUGACGAUAGAGAAUCCACUCCCACCCUUAGGGCCUAUCAGGGUCUGUGUCAGAAAAAAAUGAGCCAACACACUUGAACCAUAGCCAACAGCUGCACCUCAGUCGAGACUGGGGUCCUGCUCCAGGGAGGGAGGCAUGGCAACUUGGCUGACUUAGUAUAUCCAAGCAGAAGACAAAGCUAACCCAUUGGUGGAUAUUCCAUUGUCAUGCUGAGAAAAGGCGUUCAGGACCACAUUGCUUCAACUAGUUUUGAAAAUUGCUUUGUCAUUAUACCGUUGGCAGAUAUUCAAGAUAGCUACAAGCUACCCAUAACGUAUAGAAGAAAUCCAUAAUCUAUAUCCAGAAUAUUGACAGGACAAAGAAACCUGCAUAGGAAUCAACAAUCAGAGUUACAGUUGUGAAACAGGCCAUUGCUGUGGACAGUCUCAAUGCUGCAAUUACUAUUAUGAACUCUGGUGGUUCUGGCUAGUAUGGACGAUCAUCAUCAUUUUGAG